rnacentral:rRNA from 1 species
UACGGGGGGUGCGAGCGUUGUCCGGAAUCACUGGGCGUAAAGGGCGCGUAGGUGGUUUGAUAAGGGUGUGGUGAAAGUCCGGGGCUCAACCCCGGAUCUGCCGUGCCGACUGUCAAACUCGAGGGCUGUAGAGGCAGACGGAAUUCCGGGUGUAGCGGUGGAAUGCGUAGAUAUCUGGAGGAACACCGGUGGCGAAGGCGGCAUCCUGGACCAACACUGACGCUGAGAAGCGAAAGCCAGGGGAGCAAACGGG